rnacentral:rRNA from 1 species
GAGUUUGCUCCUGGCUCAGGAUGAACGCUAGCGGCAGGCUUAACACAUGCAAGUCGAGGGGUAACGGGGAAGCUUGCUUCCGCCGACGACCGGCGCACGGGUGCGUAACGCGUAUACAAUCUACCUUAUACUGGGGUAUAGCCUUUAGAAAUGAAGAUUAACCCCCCAUAGUCUCUUAGAGUGGCAUCACUUCUAGAGUAAAGGUUACGGUAUAAGAUGAGUAUGCGUUCUAUUAGUUUGUUGGUGUGGUAACGGCACACCAAGACUACGAUAGAUAGGGGCCCUGAGAGGGGGAUCCCCCACACUGGUACUGAGACACGGACCAGACUCCUACGGGAGGCAGCAGUGAGGAAUAUUGGACAAUGGAGGCAACUCUGAUCCAGCCAUGCCGCGUGCAGGAAGACUGCCCUAUGGGUUGUAAACUGCUUUUAUACAGGAAGAAACACCUCUACGUGUAGAGGCUUGACGGUACUGUAAGAAUAAGGAUCGGCUAACUCCGUGCCAGCAGCCGCGGUAAUACGGAGGAUCCAAGCGUUAUCCGGAAUCAUUGGGUUUAAAGGGUCCGUAGGUGGAUAAUUAAGUCAGAGGUGAAAUCUUGCAGCUCAACUGUAAAAUUGCCUUUGAAACUGGUUAUCUUGAGUUAUUAUGAAGUAGUUAGAAUAUGUAGUGUAGCGUGAAAUGCAUAGAUAUUACAUAGAAUACCAAUUGCGAAGGCAGAUUACUAAUAAUCAACUGACACUGAUGGACGAAAGCGUGGGUAGCGAACAGGAUUAGAUACCCUGGUAGUCCACGCCGUAAACGAUGGUCACUAGCUGUUUGACCAACAUUGGUUGGUUGAGUGGCUAAGCGAAAGUGAUAAGUGACCCACCCGGGGAGUACGCUCGCAAGAGUGAAACUCAAAGGAAUUGACGGGGGCCCGCACAAGCGGUGGAGCAUGUGGUUUAAUUCGAUGAUACGCGAGGAACCUUACCAGGGCUUAAAUGUAAGUUGCAUGGACCAGAGAUGGACCUUUCUUCGGACUACUUACAAGGUGCUGCAUGGUUGUCGUCAGCUCGUGCCGUGAGGUGUCAGGUUAAGUCCUAUAACGAGCGCAACCCCCAUCGUUAGUUGCCAGCGGGUCAUGCCGGGAACUCUAACGAGACUGCCGGUGCAAACCGUGAGGAAGGUGGGGAUGACGUCAAAUCAUCACGGCCCUUACGUCCUGGGCCACACACGUGCUACAAUGGCCGGUACAGAGAGCAGCCACUCCGCGAGGAGGAGCGAAUCUUCAAAACCGGUCUCAGUUCGGAUCGCAGUCUGCAACUCGACUGCGUGAAGCUGGAAUCGCUAGUAAUCGGAUAUCAGCCAUGAUCCGGUGAAUACGUUCCCGGGCCUUGUACACACCGCCCGUCAAGCCAUGGAAGCUGGGAGUACCUGAAGUCGGUGAGCGCAAGCAGCUGCCUAGGGUAAAACUAGUAACUGGGGCUAAGUCGUAACAAGGUAACC